UCACCUACGGGACGCAGCAGUAGGGAAUCUUCCACAAUGGACGAAAGUCUGAUGGAGCAACGCCGCGUGAGUGAAGAAGGGUUUCGGAUUGUAAAGCUCUGUUAGCAGGGAAGAGGAAGGACGGUACCUGCAGAGGAAGCCACGGCUAACUACGUGCCAGCAGCCGCGGUAAUACGUAGGUGGCAAGCGUUGUUCGGAAUAACUGGGCGUAAAGGAUGCGUAGGCGGUUAAACAAGUUAUAUGUUAAAUAUAUAGGCUUAACCUGUAGAAAGCAUAUAAAAAUGUUUAACUAGAGUGCAGGAGAG
rnacentral:rRNA from 1 species